rnacentral:rRNA from 1 species
UACGGGGGGGGCAAGCGUUGUUCGGAAUUACUGGGCGUAAAGGGCUCGUAGGCGGCCAACUAAGUCAUACGUGAAAUCCCUCGGCUUAACCGGGGAACUGCGUCUGAUACUGGAUGGCUUGAGUUCGGGAGAGGGAUGCGGAAUUCCAGGUGUAGCGGUGAAAUGCGUAGAUAUCAGGAGGAACACCGGUGGCGAAGGCGGGUCUCUGGGCCGUAACUGACGCUGAGGAGCGAAAGCAUGGGGAGCGAACAGG